CACCACACGCUCCGCGCCGCCCGAGCGCCGCACUGGGCAUGCUCGCCACGGGCCGGCCCCGGCGCUCGUAGGUGGAAGCUCCGCACUCGGGGCCGCCCGCGGCGCAGCCCGCAUCGCUGCCCGGUGCCGGAGGAGGCGGCUGGUCCUCGCGGGGCGCUGCCGGGAGCCGGGUUUGCAGAGCGCGGCGCGGCGGCAGCUCUGGAGCGGGCUAUGGCGAGGGGUGCACGGCAACCACCGGAGUGGCGCAGCGGAGUCAGAUUCUUAGUCAAGCACCAUCUCCAUGGCUCCAGGACAGGUUUGUCCCAUGGCCUGCUCUGAACAGUGUGUUUUCUGAAAGAAGAUUCCAUUGGCAAACCAUCUAUUGCCUUACUGAACAAGCAAAGAAGAUGGACAUGUUGAAGAACCAUCUGACUGUGUGCUUUCUACCUUCUGUGCCCUUUCUAAUCCUAGUGUCCACUCUAGCAACUGCUAAGAGUGUCAGUAACAGCACUUUAAAUGGCACUGACAUGGUCUUGGGCUCUGUGCCUGUAAUCAUUACCAGAACUGACCAUAUCAUAGUCAAGGAAGGGAACAGUGCCUUGAUUAACUGUAGUGUUUAUGGCUUCCCUGACCCACAGUUUAAGUGGUAUAAUUCCAUUGGCAAGCUGCUGAAAGAAGAAGAGGGUGAGAAGGAAAGAGGAGGAGGAAAAUGGCAACUGAUCGACAGUGGCCUCCUGAACAUCACCAAGGUGUCUUUCUCUGACCGAGGAAAAUACACGUGCGUGGCUUCUAAUAUCUAUGGUACUGUGAACAACACAGUGACGCUGAGAGUCAUCUUCACCUCCGGAGACAUGGGUGUCUACUACAUGGUCGUGUGCCUCGUGGCCUUCACCAUCGUCAUGAUCCUCAACAUCACCCGCCUGUGUAUGAUGAGCAGCCACCUGAAGAAGACUGAGAAAGCCAUCAACGAGUUCUUUAGGACCGAAGGCGCAGAGAAGCUGCAAAAGGCCUUUGAGAUCGCCAAGCGCAUCCCCAUCAUCACCUCAGCCAAAACGCUAGAGCUUGCCAAAGUGACCCAGUUCAAAACCAUGGAGUUUGCCCGUUACAUUGAAGAGCUUGCCAGGAGUGUGCCUCUGCCCCCUCUCAUCAUGAACUGCAGGACCAUCAUGGAGGAGAUCAUGGAAGUGGUUGGGCUGGAGGAGCAGGGGCAGAAUUUUGUGAGACACACCCCAGAAGGCCAGGAGGCCACCGACAGGGAUGAGGUGUACACCAUCCCCAACUCUCUGAAGCGAAGUGACUCACCCACCGCCGACUCGGACGCCUCGUCGCUGCAUGAACAGCCCCAGCAGAUUGCCAUCAAGGUGUCUGUGCACCCCCAAGCCAAAAAAGAUCACGGGGAUGACCAAGAGGGGGUACAGUUUGAGGUCAAAGAUGAAGAGGAGACAGAACCAUCCGCCGAACGCUCACCAGAAACCGGAGAGCCUUCCACAGACAUCACAUCGACUGAGCUAACCUCGGAAGAGCCCACACCUGUGGAGGGAUCAGAUCGAGGACUGCCCCCAGCUCACCUGGAGACGACAGAGCCAGCAGGGAUGGAUGACACAAACACCUGCAUUAUUUAUGAAAGCCAUGUCUAAUACCAACUCCGAAAAGCUAUGCAUAUCAAGGAAAUCAGGAGCUGCUCCUUGUCACACAGAUUAGUACGCACGUGCCGCUAAGCCUUACCAGGAGACUCUCAUCCCUUAGGUAGGAGUGAUGCCAUUUUCCAAGGGGAACACACCUGCGUGUAGCUGACAUGACUGGAAUCUCUGCAGUAGAAAAGGAUGCGAGAAACAUCAGGAUGCAGAAUCGAUACUCUCAGACAGAAAGUAUCUGUCCAUGUGAUUUGAAUUGGAGAGGUCAUUCUCUGCCAAAUCCCUUAAUUGGCGAUGCCCUUCAGGCAGAGUCCACUUACUGUAAGAGAUUCUGAGUUCAAGAGCCCUGUCCAAUGCACACUGCGUUGCUUUUCCUUUUAAAAAUUAUAGGUCUGUUACCAUAGCAGAUGCACGUACAUGGGUUUGUUGCACUUUUCUUCUCAGUUAAAAUUAACUUCACUGUUCCUUCAUAAGGGGAUAGUUGUUAUGAUAGUAAUACUAAUUGAUCUUUCUGAUUUGUCUUUGCCAUUUUGUCCUUUGUUUUCCUUAGAAAAAUUUACCUCAUGGGCUUUUUGGUACCAGCCCCCAUUUCCAGGGCUGAUAGCUAGAAGUCAUUUGUACUGUUCCAAAGUAGUUUUUAUGCUAGCUGACUUUGGUUUUGGUUUGUUUCUUUUCAUUCUCCAGGUCCAUUUUCAUAUAGUACUGUUUUUUGUUUUGUUUUUUAUUGAGUUCCCCACUGAAGCUGCUGUUGUGAAACUGAGAAACCCUUUGCCCCAGAAUAGCACUUUAAUAGUCAAAUAAAAAUUUCGAAGGUCACUCCUGCACCCCUGAAAACUGAUGGUUUACACUUAAGUAACAUCAUUCUAGUCUUUACCUGGAAUCAGUUGAUGACUUCCUACAGGUUGUAGAUAUCAGCUUCCCAAAAGGGUUUGCCAGGACAAAUACAUGUGACAGGAAAUCAGGAGAAAGAUAUGGGAAGUACAUAAACAGGUCCACUUUUGGAACCUGCGUAGCUGACAUACUGACCCUUGAAAGGCAGAAUGAAAGAGUAGGGUAGAGGCAUAGAGAACCAUGCUGUUAACUUUACGCCAAAAUUAGUGAAUUAUGAACCAGUCCCACAAAACAGCAGUAUAUGCAAGGCAGGACAAUGUUACAGAAAGUAGAUGAAGCUAGUCACCCAGAGGUUUAAUGCCGACCUUACCGUGCCAAUAACCAGCUGCCUGGCUUUGUGCAAGUCUGUGCCUCAGUUUCUCGAUCUGUAAAAUGAAGCACUCUGCACAUCAUUAAACAGUCUCAGUCUCUCAGAGAGCCACACCAAUAUGAACAUUUCUGCUGUUUUUCACAACUACUUUACUAUCUUUUUUGCUUUCAUCUCUGCUUUUCCCCAACAUUAUACUGCAUUGCUUACUCAAAGAGGCUCAAUUUGGGAGAGAAAAAUCAUAGCAUUUCAAACAAAUUGUGGAAUCCCUCCACCUCUCAAAAAAACCACUAGGACAACUUGCACAAUUCACAUGUAAUCUUGGCAAGAUUAAAUGGUAUAAGGGUGCUGGCUACAUGGGUGUGUGAUAAGUGUGACAGGCUAGCAAUGAGAGAGAGGACACAGAUACACAGUCUUCACUCUGUCACCAUCCGGGAAAGUGAUUCCCUUCUUUCUGUAGUACUCAGUGGUCCAUAAGACCCCUCAAGUUCAAGUAUUUAGCUUUAUGGGAAGUUUGAAAAUGAUGCCAAUCCCCACUGUACCACACAAGCAGAGUGGGUAUGUGACACUAGACGCUUUUGUGAUGCAAACUUUUUUUUUGGUCAUUUGUGGGGUUUGAACUCAAGGCCUGAACAACUAUCCCUGAGAUUUUCUGCUAAAGGAUCACA